rnacentral:lncRNA from 1 species
UGUAACCGAACCACCACCUCAAACCGAAACUCAACAUACAACCGAACCUACCCACACUCAACUGAUGGGUUUUAGCCAUAAGAACUUUCCUAUGUGCGCAUGCAAAACCCUAAUGCUUGGAUCUAGGCUUUCUAAUAAACAUGCUUUGAAUCCAAGACUUUUAAUUACUAAUUAGGUUAAACAAGAACAUUAAAACAGAUCUAGAAUCAUACCUUUGAGUUCCUUGUUGAUCUUGAGGUCUUGGAGCUUCUAGAGUCACAAAUGUCACUCCUCUAAUGGCUUACAAACACCAAAGCAAGGAGGAUGAUUUGAGAGAGAGGAGAGGGGAGGAAUUCGACCAGAGGUUCCUUACUUUUUCCAGAAGUGUUGAAUUCCCUAUGCCAAGGGGUCUAUUUAUACUUGUAGAUUCCUUAAUGAUUACAGAUAAGUCCCUAUCAGAUAAUCUUCUCUUAAGGCUAUCCAAAUCCAUUCCUAGAUAACUCUAAUGGACGAUUUUAGCUAUCCUAAUCCUCUUAGAAUUCGUCCAUAGUAUAUCCAAAUGGAUUUACAGUUUAAAGCUUAACUAUCAAACAAUUGACAGUUUAUACCCCUUUAUUUAAUUAAUCUCUUUAAGUCACCAAAUUAAUUCUAAUUAAUUCUAUGACUUAUAUUAAUCAAAUAACAAAUAUAUUAUUCAUUAUAUUAUUCCCAUAAUAUAUUAAUAAUAUUUACUCUCUCUUAAUAAAUCAUCCUAUCAAGUUGCUAUGGUGAAGGCAACCCAAAAGGACCAUGCACAACCGGAUAUAGUUACAGCCUUAGACACUAUUCCAACAGUCUCCCACUUGGAUAAGUCUAGUAACUAUACAAGUACAAUUCGGUUUGCAAUCGUAGCUCUCAAAGACGCUGUCAACUCUGAUCUAAUCAAUCUUGUCCUUUAGAUAAGGGAACGUACAGUCCUCUGUUAGAUAUCAUGCUGACAAUCCUAUGGAAUGGUUAGUCAAGCAUUUAGGUUUCUCGAUCUCUGAUUUAUUUGACAUAGAACUUAAUCGAACACAUCAAUUCAGUUCUGACCGGGCCCGGCACAUAAGUCAAAUCAAAUCAUCGAGCGGCCGAGAUAUCGCUUUUACCUUCUUAGAUAAAAGUUACAGAUAAACUUCGACUUAUAUGCAUUUACUUAUUCAUUAACCAACUAUACACAACAAUACGUUUUAUAACACCAAGUUACUGAUGCGUUUUCGUAUUAUCAAUGUACAAUCAAUUAACAAAUAAUAAACCAUAUAUCUAGGUUUUAAGACUAUAUGAUAUUAUCGUCUUGCGAUCACCUUUUAUAUCGUAUUCCAUAAGGUGAUUCCAGCAAGCGCGGGUUUAUUCCAAUGCUCAAAACUAGUUCAUAAGCACUCAUGAACGUUGCAGCAAUCCUUUGCUAUGUCUAACACCAUUUAGACAUUCUACACACCAAUUCAUGACAAUCUUCUUUCAUAUCUACUCCCAACAUAUGAACGAUUGUGGACCAUUUGAAUAAUUCGAUUAUUCCUAAUAAACUCAAUUAUUCUGGAAGUCAAAACAUGCAAAGUGAAACAAUAGCUAAACAAUUAACAUAAGAUAGUAACAUUACUCAUAAAUAAAACUCCUUUAUUUAAUCAUCAAAUGUCAAUUACAUUUAUCUAUUACACGUUUCUAAUACUAUCUAAUCUAUGCUAAUAUCAUCCUUCAGCCCAAUACUCCUAGCAUGCUGCAAGUGCUUAACCCUACUCAGUCCCUUCGUAAGCGGAUCUGCUGGGUUAUCUUCUGAUGAUAUCCUCUUCACUACGAGUUGUCCUUCUUCUACACGAUGUCUAAUGAAGUGAUAUUUUCUGUCGAUAUGUCUUGAUCUACCAUGAUCCCUCGGUUCCUUGGUCAAGGCAACCGCACCUUCGUUAUCACAGAAAAUCUCCAUUGGCUCCUUUAUGGCAGGUACGACUCCAAGAUCACCGAUGAAGUUCUUUAGCCAUAUUGCCUCCUUCGACGCUUCGCUCGCUGCAAUGUACUCUGAUUCGCACGUUGAAUCAGCUACGGUUUCCUGCUUGGAACUCUUCCAUGUCACUGCUCCUCCAUUUAGGGUAAAGACCCAGCCCGACUGCGAACGGUAGUUGUCCCUGUCGGUCUGAAAACUGGCGUCACUAUACCCUCGCACCUUCAAGUCAUCACUCCCUCCGAGGACUAAGAACCAUUCCUUCGUCCUCCGAAGGUACUUAAGGAUAUUCUUCACCGCAAUCCAAUGUGCUUUGCCAGGAUUCCCUUGAUAUCUGCUAACCAUGCUCAAAGCGAAGGCUACAUCAGGGCGAGUACAAGUCAUAGCGUACAUGAUUGAGCCAACUGCGGAAGCGUAUGGUACUCGGCUCAUUUCUGCUAUCUCAGCUUCGGUACUCGGACUUUGAGUCUUACUCAAUUUGGCAUUACUUUGUAUCGGUAGUUCUCCCUUCUUUGAGUUUUCCAUACUAAAACGUUUUAGUACCUUCUCUAAGUAAGUAUUCUGACUAAGUCCAAUUAGUCUCUUACUUCUUUCUCUUACUAUCCUUAUUCCCAAAAUGUAAGAAGCCUCUCCGAGGUCCUUCAUAGCGAAGCACUUCCCGAGCCAGGACUUAACCUCCUGCAGAGUCGGGAUGUCGUUUCCUAUGAGUAAUAUGUCAUCGACAUAUAGAACGAGGAAGCUUACUAUACUCCCACUGGCUUUGACAUAUACACAAGAUUCGUCUUCGCUUCGUACAAAUCCAAACUCUUUGACUUUCUCAUCGAAGCAAAGAUUCCAUCUGCGAGACGCUUGCUUAAGUCCAUAAAUGGACUUCUCAAGCUUACACACUCUAUUCGGAUGCUUCGGAUCCACAAACCCCUCUGGCUGAGCCAUGUAAACAUCCUCAGCCAACUUUCCGUUAAGGAAAGCGGUCUUGACAUCCAUUUGCCAAAUCUCAUAAUCAUGAAAUGCGGCAAUUGCUAGCAUCACUCUAAUAGAUUUAAUCUUCGCAACUGGUGAGAAGGUCUCAUCAUAGUCAACUCCGGGAGUUUGAGUAAAGCCCUUCGCAACCAAUCGCGCUUUAUAUGUGUGUACGUUUCCAUCCACGUCGGUCUUCUUCUUGAAGAUCCAUUUGCACCCAACGGUCUUACGUCCGGGCACAUAAUCAACCAAAUUCCAAACUUGGUUAUCAUACAUGGAUUGGAUCUCGCUAUCCAUUGCCUCUUUCCAUUUUGCAGACUCCGGGCCUGCCAUGGCUUCCUUAUAGCUAUUAGGUUCAUCAAGAUUUAUUAGUGUACCAUCACUAAUAUACGUGUCCCCUUCGGUAGUAAUAUGAAAACCAUAAAACUGGGGUUGAACUCUAACUCUAUCGGAACGUCUAAGAGGUAAGGAUUCGUCAAUCGGUUCAACCGGAGUUUCCUCCUCGGGUUGAGUGCCAGCGGUAGAGGUUCCUUCAUCUAUCGACUCUUGAAUCUCUUCAAGCUCGAUUUGCCUCCCACUGUCUCCUUGGCUUAUGAGUUCUCGCUCUCGGAAAACUCCUCUCCUCGCAACGAAGACAACAUUGUCCUUCGGUCUAUAGAAGAGAUAUCCAAAGGAUGUCUGCGGGUAGCCGAUGAAAAUACAUCGCUCACUUCGAGGUUCAAGCUUGUCGUGAGUAUCUCGUCUUACGAAAGCCUCGCAACCCCAAACCUUGAUAUGUGCCAACGAGGGAGCUUUCCCUGUCCACAUCUCGUGAGGUGUUUUGGCAACCUUCUUAGUAGGGACUCGGUUAAGGAUAUGGGCGGCAGUCUCUAAGGCAUACCCCCAAAAAGAGAUAGGUAGUGAAGCACGACUCAUCAUAGAGCGAACCAUAUCCAAUAAGGUUCGAUUACGCCUUUCUGCCACACCAUUCAACUGCGGUGUCCUAGGAGGCGUCAAUUGCGAAACUAUUCCACACUCCUUGAGAUAAUCGUGGAAUUCAAGACUUAGGUACUCUCCUCCUCGAUCGGAUCGAAGCAUCUUGAUUUUCCUGCCCAAUUGAUUCUCCACUUCAUUCUUGAACUCUUUGAACUUUUCAAAGGUGUCUGACUUUUGCUUGAUUAAGUAGAUAUACCCAUAUCUACUAUAGUCAUCGGUAAAAGUCACAUAGAAGCGGUUCCCAUCCUUCGUGGUUGAUCUAAACGGUCCACAUACAUCGGUAUGUAUUAGGUCCAAUAGACCCUCGCCCCUUUCACAUGUACUCGUGAAGGGUGACUUAGUCAUCUUUCCAAGCAAACAAGACUCGCAUGUGUCAUCUUCCCUAAGGUCGAAUGACUCCAACACUCCAUCCUUUUGGAGUUGGGCUAUGCGUUUCUUGUUGACAUGUCCAAGACGACAAUGCCACAAGGAUGCUUUAUCCAUACUAGUGGAAGAAUCAAUAUUCAAAACAUCAUUUCCUAAGUUAUCAACAAUCAUAACGGUUUCAUAUAUUCCAUUACAUGGUAUAGCUUCAAAGUAAAAGACACCAUUUAGAUAAGCCAAAAUAGAACCAUUCUCAUUAUUAAAAGAAAAUCUAAAUCCUUGUCUAUAUAAACCAUGAAAUGAAAUGAUGUUUCUUGCCAUUUCUGGCGAAUAGCAACAAUUGUUCAAAUCUAAAACUAAACUAUUCCUAAGCACUAAGGAAUACACUCCAAUCUUGGUCACAGGCGACGAUCUUCUGUUCCCCAUGAUUAGAUUGAUCCUUCCUUGCUCCACAUCCCUACUUCUUCUUAGUCCCUGCACAUUAGAACAAAUGUGAUAACCACAACCGGUAUCAAGAACCCAAGAAAUAGCAUGAUUAGAAUCGUUAGAUUUGAUUGUAUAUAUACCUGCGAAAGAUGGCUUGAUCUUUCCUUCUUUGAUUGCUUGCAGGUAAUCCGGGCAGCUUCUCUUCCAAUGUCCUAUCUUGUGGCAGUGGUGGCACUCUGCCUCCUUCGGGUUAGAGCAGGGCUUGGCGGGAUCAACUUUGGUCCCACUAGAAGAGGCACCAUCUCGGGCUUUCACCUUGCGAUAGUUCUUCGAUGAAGCUUUCCUCUUCUUUCCCUUCCCUUGUCCAAUAGCCAAGACAGGAGCAGCGGGCGGAUUGGGAGUAGGUGCAACAGACUUGUCUUUGAAGUUGCUCUCAGCAACCCUCAAGAGACCUUGGAGCUUGCUUAGGGUGACCUCUUCUUUGUUCAUGUGGUAGGUCAUCCUAAAUUGGUUGUACAUCGGAGGCAAAGAGUGAAGCACCAUGUCGAUCGCCAAGUCUUCACCGAAGUCAACAUUUAACUUGCGGAGGCGGUCAACAUACCUUUGCAUCUUUUGCAAGUGCACGGUAAGAGAUUCUCCAUGACCCAUCUUCGCGGAAAUCAUGUUAGUGAAAAUCUCGUACCUCUCUUGUCUCGCGUUUUGGUGGUACCUCUCCAAUAAGUCUUGAUGCAUCUCGUACGGGUACAUGUCCUCGUAGGACUUUUGGAAUUCGGAGUUCAUGGUGGCGAUCAUGAUGCAAUGUACCUUCGUUGCAUCUCGCUCAUGAGUUUCAAAGGCGGUGAUUUCGGCGGGAGUAGCAAUUUCGGGGUUGAUUUUCUCGAGCUUCUCAUCGAGGACAUACUCCUUAUCCUCAUAGCGAGCAAUGGUGCGAAUGUAUCUUAUCCAUUCGCUAAAGUUCGUUCCAUCGAAGGUGACCUUUUGGCAAAGGCUCAUCAACGUGAAAGAACUAGCAGCAGCGUUGUUUGCGUUCGACAUCUACAAUUAGAAAAGGACAAAGAUAGAUUAGAAUAAGAAUCCCUAAUUAUCACCCAAUAAGAAAAUUAGGGCUAGGAUCCAACAAUAACAUUUACAUACUAGAAAAGGGAUGCCGUAAUCUAACAUGCAAAUAAAUUGAAGGUAAGUGAAUGACGAUUCACUAAUUCUCCAUCACAAAACUUAAACUAUUAGUCCUAAGUGUUUUUGAGAAUUCCUAGGUUCGGAUGAGAUUCAUUGAAACUAUUCAAUGGCAUGUUUAAAUCUCGAUAUGCCCCUCUUGUUUGUGACUGGGAUGCCGAGGAUCACAAAGCGGGUGUGAAUUACCAUGCAAAUUCACAUGGUGCCUUCAUUGUAACAAUCACCUAUUCGAUGUGCCGGUAAACCACACACGCUCCAUCGAACUAUGAUAAACAAUGAAUCACCCUUUGCCACCUUCGCUUAGAACCAAUUAGUGUGCCGGUAAACCACACACGCUCCACUAACAUCUUAGCAAGGUGCAAAGUGUAAUUUCAUGGGAUUGCAUCAAUUCACUUUUCCUAAAGUAACUAGGAUUGGGAAAUUUUAAAAAAAUGUGUAGUUACUUUAUAUUUCUUAUUAUACUUUUAAUGAGAGGAUGAGGUUGCCCUAUCCUACCCGUUCGGCUAACGACCCUCCACCAAUCAAGCAAGCGGUGGGUGUGAGUGUACACCCAUUAAGCGCCAUUUUAUAGGCCGCAACCUUAUACCCACCUUAUAGAUCGGCUUCGUGAAUGAGGCCUACUAACGGUAAGACUAGCAUUUAGUUAUACAUAUAUAUAUUAUUCUAGUAAUAUCAUAUUAGUAUAGGGUUGUAUUUUAAAACUUUUAAAAUCUAGGGUUUGAAAUUUAAGUUGUCUAAAUUAAAACUUUUAAUCACAAAAGUAAAUUUCAAAACAUGAGGGUAGGUUUUAAACAUUUAAAACAUGGAGGAUCAAAUAACAAAUAAUUCCAAUUAACAAUUAAUAUCCUAAUUAUCUAUAUUUGAUUUAUUCAAGAUUUCUUUUAAAGAUAAUUACCAAAAUAAUCAAAAUAAUUAAUUAAUUAUCAUAUAAGGAAAUUAAAUAUUUAAUUAGUUGAUAAUUACCUUUAACUAGAUCAAGAUAAUAGUUAUAUUUAUCAGAAAAACGAAUUAAUGUUGAUCUAAUUAGUUUAUGGUAAGUUAAGAUAAGAUAAACACAAAGAAAUCCCGAAUCUGGCCAUUCCUGACGCCUGGACUCGCCGAGUGCACAAAUGGACUCGCCGAGUCAGGCCUACUCGCCGAGUCCACUUUGAGACUCGCCGAGUCCAUGACUCAGAAACCAAAAAUUCGAAUUUUGCAGGUUUGUUUCAGUUAAUCAAGCAACAAUUUACAGAAAACCAAGCUAGGCUCUGAUACCACUGAUGGGUUUUAGCCAUAAGAACUUUCCUAUGUGCGCAUGCAAAACCCUAAUGCUUGGAUCUAGGCUUUCUAAUAAACAUGCUUUGAAUCCAAGACUUCUAAUUACUAAUUAGGUUAAACAAGAACAUUAAAACAGAUCUAGAAUCAUACCUUUGAGUUCCUUGUUGAUCUUGAGGUCUUGGAGCUUCUAGAGUCACAAAUGUCACUCCUCUAAUGGCUUACAAACACCAAAGCAAGGAGGAUGAUUUGGGAGAGAGGAGAGGGGAGGAAUUUCGACCAGAGGUUCCUUACUUUAGGUCAAGUGUCGAAUUCCAUCAGCCAUGGGGUCUAUUUAUACUUGUAGACUCCUUAAGGAUUACAGAUAAGUCCCUAUCAGAUAAUCUUCUCUUAAGGCUAUCCAAAUCCAUUCCUAGAUAACUCUAAUGGACGAUUUUAGCUAUCCUAAUCCUCUUAGAAUUCGUCCAUAGUAUAUCCAAAUGGAUUUACAGUUUAAAGCUUAACUAUCAAACAAUUGACAGUUUAUACCCCUUUAUUUAAUUAAUCUCUUUAAGUCACCAAAUUAAUUCUAAUUAAUUCUAUGACUUAUAUUAAUCAAAUAACAAAUAUAUUAUUCAUUAUAUUAUUCCCAUAAUAUAUUAAUAAUAUUUAUUCUCUCUUAAUAAAUCAUCCUAUCAAGUUGCUAUGGUGAAGGCAACCCAAAAGGACCAUGCACAACCGGAUAUAGUUACAGCCUUAGACACUAUUCCAACAUCAACCACCACCCGAAACUACCCCCACCAACACUCAACCUGAACCUACCCAAACCACCACACCCCCAGCAUCCCCAACCCCACCAUCUCUAGAUCAUGCCUCUGAUGGAGAUAAUCCUUUCCUUGGAGGGGAAAAUAUGACCUUUGAUUCGGUCUACUUUAGUCCGUUUCAGGUUCAAAGCGACGAUGAGGACGAUGCUC